AAGGUUUUAAGUUAAACAAACUAAUAGCCUUCAAAGCUGUCAAUAAAAGCCAAUUUUUAAACCUUA
rnacentral:tRNA from 1 species